rnacentral:lncRNA from 1 species
CCAACACCCAGACGGCAGAGAACUUCCUGGACUCUCCAAGGACUGUCCUCUUCUCUGAUGGCCUGGCUUCAUCCUCUACUUGCUUCUCGGCGCCGUCAACGAGUCUGCCUCCUGUGUUGGUGAGAUUAGUGUUACUCUGGCCCUUAUUUGCUCUGGAGGGAGAUUCAUGGUGAGAGCCGGGUGGUGCGCAAGGUGUCCCUUUUGUCAUAUUGUGUAUAUUUGUGUUUUAUGUACUUGUGCUGUAGAAACCCACAGUAGCAGAAUGAAGAAGCGUGUUCAUCCUCUAAUUUUGCCAGAAUUGUAACCUUUGGACGCUCUUCAAGAAGAAUGUCUGUCUCGGAAAUCUUAAAAGUUCACACAGGUCUAAGAGGAGCGGACAAAGGACGGGUCUACCUUGUUACCUUCGCUGUACCGGACGUCUCAACCACGAAGUGUUUGACCUCGAAACAUCUAGCCAAAGAGUGGCGGCGAGUUGUUCGGACCACUGUCUUCCCCAUCCUCAGAAGGCCACAGGUACAUCGUCACUUUAAUCGAUUACACCACUGGGUUCCCCGAAGCAGUGCCACUGGACGGAAAUAGACUAUCUCCGUUGCUGAGGCCUUACACCAUCUUCGCUAGAGUCGGUAUACCACGAGAAAUUCUCGCUGAUCAAGGUACCAAAUUUACAUCUCGAUUAAUGUAAGGACUUCACAAGUUCUUUGGAGUCAAGCCUUUAUUUAUAACUCCAUUUCAGCCUAGCACUAAUGGUCCCACUGAACGUCUACAUGCACCACUUAAAGCUUCUGUACGGGGACCGCCCUCGGGAGUGGCAUUGUUACUUGAUUACUACAUUAUUGCCCUCAGAUACCCAGCGAUACAACCGGUUUCUCUGCCUUCCAACUUCUCUAUGGAAGGACUUUUCGGAGACCUCUCUCCGCCCUUGGAGAUUUAUGGGAGGACUGGAACCUGAAGGACAACGACUGAUCCGCUUUCCGCUACGUGGUAGAGCUACAGAAGCUAGCAGAGACUGCGCAGAUCGCCGCCAACAAUGCAUACAUCAGUGCCUAGAAAAACUUUUGACAUAGAGUGAAGAUUUACAGUAAGAGGUAAGGUUGAUUACCUAAUUGAUUUUCCCCAAGGUCCGAGAUAGUACCACGUCAACCUCUUCAAACGUUACAUCCGUCAUCCUAGUGCCAGGUUUGCCGAAGUCUUAGACGAAGUGUCAACACCUAAAGAGACCGAAGAGGAAACGCCCGAAAGGUAUGUCCCGGAGAACAACCACCUUAUUUGUGAAGACGACCCCGAGGAUCGUUCGGCCACUCCCGAGCGACACAUCGCUCAUUUCUCUAUGCCACGUAUGUCUCGAGAACCCUGAUUCCGGUCUCUCCACGUCUCGAGGCCCCAGUGAACACCUAACCGAGUCUACCUACCAGACGGCAGAGAACUCUCUGGACUCUACAAGGACUGGCCUCUCUGCUGCCCUGGCUUCACCCUCUACUUGCUUCCCGGAGCCGUCAACGAGUCUGCCUCCAGUGUUGGUGAGAUUAGUGUUCCUCUGGCCCUCACUCGCUCUGGAGGUCGACUCAUGGUGAGAGCCGGGUGGUGAGCAAGAUGUCUGUUAUAUUGUGUAUACUUAUGUUUUUGCAAGUCUAGUAAACUUAGAACCAUU